rnacentral:rRNA from 1 species
AGAGUUUGAUCCUGGCUCAGAGUGARCGCUGGCGGCGUGCUUAACACAUGCAAGUCGAACGGAAACAGCAGUGCUUGCAGUGCUGUUUGAGUGGYUGACGGGUGAGUAAUGUAUAGCUUACGUGCCCCAUAGAGGGGGAUAACUACUAGAAAUGGGAGCUAAUACCCCAUACUCCUUGUAGUAGGGAGAUACUAUAAGGGAAAGGAGUAAUCCGCUAUGGGAUCGGGCUAUAUCGUAUCAGCUAGUUGGUGAGGUAAAGGCUCACCAAGGCUAUGACGCGUAGCUGGUCUGAGAGGAUGAUCAGCCACACUGGAACUGAGACACGGUCCAGACUCCUACGGGAGGCAGCAGUGGGGAAUAUUGCACAAUGGGGGAAACCUGAUGCAGCAACGCCGCGUGGAGGAUGACGCAUUUCGGUGUGUAACUCCUUUUAUAUUGGAAGAUGAUGACGGUACCAUAUGAAUAAGCACCGGCUAACUCCGUGGCAGAGSCGCGGUAAUANGGGGGGUGGAGCGUUACUCGGAAUCACUGGGCGUAAAGCGCGCGCAGGNGGUUAGAAAAGUCAGAUGUGAAAUGCUACGGCUCAACCGUAGAACUGCAUCUGAAACUCUCUAACUAGAGUGUGGGAGAGGUAAGUGGAAUUAGUGGUGUAGGGGUAAAAUCCGCAGAGAUCACUAGGAAUACCAAAAGCGAAGGCAACUUACUGGAACACUACUGACGCUGAGGCGCGAAAGCGUGGGGAGCAAACAGGAUUAGAUACCCUGGUAGUCCACGCCCUAAACGAUGAAUGUUAGUCGUCGGAGGGCGAGUCUCUUCGGUGAUGCAGCUAACGCAUUAAACAUUCCGCCUGGGGAGUACGGUCGCAAGAUUAAAACUCAAAGGAAUAGACGGGGACCCGCACAAGUGGUGGAGCAUGUGGUUUAAUUCGAAGAUACGCGAAGAACCUUACCUGGCCUUGACAUCCCAAGAACCCUCCAGAGAUGGAGGGGUGCCCCUUUUGGGGAAUUGGUGAAAAGGUGUUGCACGGUGUCGUCAAGNUCGUGUCGUGAGAUGUUGGGUUAAGUCCCGCAAAGGAGCGCAAGCCNUCGUGUUUAGUUGNUAACAGUUCGGCUGAGNANUNUAGACAGACUGCCUCCGCAAGGAGGAGGAAGGUGAGGACGACGUCAAGUCAUCAUGGUCCUUACGGCCAGGGCGACACACGUGCUACAAUGGGUAGGACAAUGAGACGCAAUACCGCGAGGUGGAGNAAAUNUAUAAACCUANUCUCAGUUCGGAUUGUAGUCUGCAACUCGACUACAUGAAGCUGGAAUGACUAGUAAUCGUAGAUCAGCCAUGCUACGGUGAAUACGUUCCCGGGUCUUGUACUNACCGCCCGUCACACCAUGGGAGUUGAAUUCNACCGAAGCGGGGAAGCUAAACUGGCUACCUGCCACGGUGGGCU